UACGUAGGGGGCAAGCGUUAUCCGGAUUUACUGGGUGUAAAGGGAGCGUAGACGGUGAUGUAAGUCAGAUGUGAAAGCCCGGGGCUCAACCCCGGGACUGCAUUUGAAACUAUGUUGCUGGAGUGCAGGAGAGGUAAGUGGAAUUCCUAGUGUAGCGGUGAAAUGCGUAGAUAUUAGGAGGAACACCAGUGGCGAAGGCGGCUUACUGGACUGUAACUGACGUUGAGGCUCGAAAGCGUGGGGAGCAAACAGG
rnacentral:rRNA from 1 species